rnacentral:rRNA from 1 species
GGGAGACUUAGAAGUGGCGUCGCCAGGCGUUGUGGAGUCACCCUUGAAAUACCGCCCUUGCCACAGGUGAAGUCUAACCCUUCCGGGGGAACAGUGUAUGGUGGGUAGUUUGACUGGGGCGGUCGCCUCCUAAAGAGUAACGGAGGCUCCCAAAGGUACCCUCAGCACGGUUGGCAAUCGUGCGUAGAGUGUAAAAGCAUAAGGGUGCUUGACUGCGAGACAUACAGGUCGAGCAGGCACGAAAGUGGGGUUUAGUGAUCCGGUGGCACCGCAUGGAAGGGCCAUCGCUCAAAGGAUAAAAGGUACUCCGGGG